rnacentral:rRNA from 1 species
GACGAACGCUGGCGGCGUGCUUAACACAUGCAAGUCGAACGGAAAGGCCCUGCUUUUGUGGGGUGCUCGAGUGGCGAACGGGUGAGUAACACGUGAGUAACCUGCCCUUGACUUUGGGAUAACUUCAGGAAACUGGGGCUAAUACCGGAUAGGAGCUCCUGCUGCAUGGUGGGGGUUGGAAAGUUUCGGCGGUUGGGGAUGGACUCGCGGCUUAUCAGCUUGUUGGUGGGGUAGUGGCUUACCAAGGCUUUGACGGGUAGCCGGCCUGAGAGGGUGACCGGCCACAUUGGGACUGAGAUACGGCCCAGACUCCUACGGGAGGCAGCAGUGGGGAAUAUUGCACAAUGGGCGGAAGCCUGAUGCAGCAACGCCGCGUGCGGGAUGACGGCCUUCGGGUUGUAAACCGCUUCCGCCUGUGACGAAGCGUGAGUGACGGUAAUGGGUAAAGAAGCACCGGCUAACUACGUGCCAGCAGCCGCGGUGAUACGUAGGGUGCGAGCGUUGUCCGGAUUUAUUGGGCGUAAAGGGCUCGUAGGUGGUUGAUCGCGUCGGAAGUGUAAUCUUGGGGCUUAACCCUGAGCGUGCUUUCGAUACGGGUUGACUUGAGGAAGGUAGGGGAGAAUGGAAUUCCUGGUGGAGCGGUGGAAUGCGCAGAUAUCAGGAGGAACACCAGUGGCGAAGGCGGUUCUCUGGGCCUUUCCUGACGCUGAGGAGCGAAAGCGUGGGGAGCGAACAGGCUUAGAUACCCUGGUAGUCCACGCUGUAAACGGUGGGUACUAGGUGUGGGGUCCAUUCCACGGGUUCCGUGCCGUAGCUAACGCUUUAAGUACCCCGCCUGGGGAGUACGGCCGCAAGGCUAAAACUCAAAGGAAUUGACGGGGCCCCGCACAAGCGGCGGAGCAUGCGGAUUAAUUCGAUGCAACGCGUAGAACCUUACCUGGGUUUGACAUGGAUCGGGAGUGCUCAGAGAUGGGUGUGCCUCUUUUGGGGUCGGUUCACAGGUGGUGCAUGCCUGUCGUCAGCUCGUGUCGUGAGAUGUUGGGUUAAGUCCCGCAACGAGCGCAACCCUUGUUCACUGUUGCCAGCACGUUAUGGUGGGGACUCAGUGGAGACCGCCGGGGUCAACUCGGAGGAAGGUGGGGAUGACGUCAAGUCAUCAUGCCCCUUAUGUCCAGGGCUUCACGCAUGCUACAAUGGCUGGUACAGAGAGUGGCGAGCCUGUGAGGGUGAGCGAAUCUCGGAAAGCCGGUCUCAGUUCGGAUUGGGGUCUGCAACUCGACCUCAUGAAGUCGGAGUCGCUAGUAAUCGCAGAUCAGCAACGCUGCGGUGAAUACGUUCCCGGGGCU